GACGAACGCUGGCGGCGUGCUUAACACAUGCAAGUCGAACGGAAAGGUCCUGCUUUUGUGGGGUGCUCGAUUGGCGAACGCGUGUGUAUCACGUGAGUAACCUGCCCUUGACUUUGGGAUAACUUCAGGAAACUGGGGCUAAUAUCGGAUAUGAGCUUCUGCUGCACGGUGGGGUUUGGAAAGUUUCGGCGGUUGGGGAUGGACUCGCGGCUCAUCAGCUUGUUGGUGAGGUAGUGGCUUACCAAGGUUUUGACGGGUAGCCGGCCUGAGAGGGUGACCGGCCACAUUGGGACUGAGAUACGGCCCAGAAUCCUACGGGAGGCAGCAGUGGGGAGUAUUGCGCAAUGGGCGGAAGCCUGAUGCAACAACGCCGCGUGCGGGAUGACGGCCUUCGGGUUGUAAACCGCUUUCGCCUGUGACGAAGCGUGAGUGACGGUAAUGGGUAAGGAAGCACCGGCUAACUACGUG
rnacentral:rRNA from 1 species